UACGAAGGUGGCUAGCGUUGUUCGGAAUCACUGGGCGUAAAGCGCGCGUAGGCGGCGAUUCAAGUCAGAGGUGAAAUGCCCCAGGCUCAACCUGGGAACUGCCUUUGAAACUGUAUCGCUUGAGUACUGGAGGGGAGCGGGGAAUUCCUAAUGUAGAGGUGAAAUUCGUAGAUAUUAGGAGGAACACCGGUGGCGAAGGCGCCGCUCUGGACAGUCACUGACGCUGAGGCGCGAAAGCGUGGGGAUCAAACAGG
rnacentral:rRNA from 1 species